UGGGGAAUCGUCUAAUGGCAGGACAACGGAUUCUGAUUCCGUUUAUCUAGGUUCGAAUCCUAGUUCCCCAA
rnacentral:tRNA from 1 species